rnacentral:rRNA from 1 species
UACGUAGGGGGCAAGCGUUGUCCGGAAUCAUUGGGCGUAAAGAGCGUGUAGGCGGCCUGAUAAGUCGGUUGUGAAAGUCAAGGGCUCAACCCUUGAAUGCCGGCCGAUACUGUCAGGCUAGAGUCCGGAAGAGGCGAGUGGAAUUCCUGGUGUAGCGGUGAAAUGCGCAGAUAUCAGGAGGAACACCGGUGGCGAAGGCGGUUCUCUGGGAAUGUCCUGACGCUGAGGAGCGAAAGUGUGGGGAGCGAACAGG